rnacentral:rRNA from 1 species
AACGAACGCUGGCGGCAGGCCUAACACAUGCAAGUCGAGCGAGGACUUCGGUUCUAGCGGCAGACGGGUGAGUAACGCGUGGGAAUGUGCCCUUCUCUACGGAAUAGCCCUGGGAAACUGGGAGUAAUACCGUAUACGCCCUUUUGGGGAAAGAUUUAUCGGGGAAGGAUCAGCCCGCGUUGGAUUAGGUAGUUGGUGGGGUAAUGGCCUACCAAGCCGACGAUCCAUAGCUGGUUUGAGAGGAUGAUCAGCCACACUGGGACUGAGACACGGCCCAGACUCCUACGGGAGGCAGCAGUGGGGAAUCUUAGACAAUGGGGGCAACCCUGAUCUAGCCAUGCCGCGUGAGUGAUGAAGGCCUUAGGGUUGUAAAGCUCUUUCAGCUGGGAAGAUAAUGACGGUACCAGCAGAAGAAGCCCCGGCUAACUCCGUG